ensembl:snoRNA small nucleolar RNA SNORA76
AUGCUGCCUUUGACUCCCACCUGAGACACAAGGAGGGCUUAGGUUGCAGUACCAUAACAAUUGCUGGCACAUAACUGGGACUGCCUGCCCAUUGCAGGCGGCCCUAAAAAAAGAAAAGAAAUGG